ensembl:lncRNA
AUGGCCCAAAGAAUGCUGUUCUCCCUGCUUUUGGCACUGACAAUUCUGUCUGGAGCCUCUAGCCAGAGCACAACAGUAGCCGCAACCACAACAGCCCCCGCAACCACCGCAGCCCCCGCAACAACCACAGCAGCCGCUACCACGACAGCGGCCGCAACCACGACAGCGGGCGCAACAACGACAGCGGGCGCAACAACGACAGCCGCCGCAACCACGACAGCCGCCGCAACCACGACAGCCGCCGCAACCACGACAGCGGCCGCAACCACGACAGCGGCCGCAACCACGACAGCCGCCGCAACCACGACAGCCGCCCCAACAACGACAGCCGCCGCAACCACGACAGCGGCCGCAACCACGACAGCCGCCGCAACCACGACAGCCGCCGCAACGACGACAGCGGCCGCUACGACGACAGCCGCCGCAACCACGACAGCCGCCGCAACCACGACAGCCGCCGCUACGACGACAGCCGCCGCAACCACGACAGCCGCCGCAACCACGACAGCGGCCGCAACGACGACAGCGGCCGCUACGACGACAGCCGCCGCAACCACGACAGCCGCCGCAACCACGACAGCCGCCGCAACGACGACAGCCGCCGCUACGACGACAGCGGCCGCAACCACGACAGCGGCCGCAACCACGACAGCGGCCGCAACCACGACAGCCGCCCCAACCACGACAGCGGCCGCAACAACGACAGCGGCCGCAACCACGACAGCCGCCGCAACCACGACAGCCGCCGCAACCACGACAGCCGUCCCAACCACAACAGCGGCCGCAACAACAACAGCGGCCGCAACCACGACAGCGGCCGCAACCACGACAGCCGCCGCAACGACGACAGCGGCCGCUACGACGACAGCCGCCGCAACCACAACAGCCGCCGCAACCACAACAGCCACCGCAACCACGACAGCGGCCGCUACGACGACAGCCGCCGCAACCACGACAGCAGCCGCAACCACAACAGCCGCCCCAACCACAACAGCGGCCGCAACAACAGCCGCCGCAACCACGACAGCGACCGCUACGACGACAGCCGCCGCAACGACGACAGCCGCCCCAACCACGACAGCCGCCGCAACCACGACAGCCGCCGCAACCACGACAGCCGCCGCAACGACGACAGCGGCCGCUACGACGACAGCCGCCGCAACCACAACAGCCGCCGCAACCACGACAGCGGCCGCAACCACGACAGCCGCCGCAACCACGACAGCGGCCGCUACAACGACAGCCGCCGCAACCACGACAGCCGCCGCAACAACAACAGCGGCCGCAACCACGACAGCGGCCGCAACCACGACAGCCGUCGCAACCACGACAGCCGCCGCAACCACAACAGCCGCCGGAACAACAACAGCCGCCGCCACCACGACAGCGGCCGCAACCACGUCAGCGGCCGCAACCACGACAGCCGUCGCAACCACAACAGCCGCCGCAACAACAACAGCCGCCCCAACCACAACAGCGGCCGCAACAACAACAGCCGCCGCAACCACGACAGCCGCCGCAACCACGACAGCCGCCGCAACGACGACAGCCGCCGCUACGACGACAGCCGCCGCUACGACGACAGCCACCGCAACCACGACAGCCGCCGCAACCACGACAGCCGCCGCAACCACAACAGCCGCCGCAACCACGACAGCAGCCGCAACAACGACAGCCGCCGCAACAACGACAGCCGCCGCAACCACGACAGUGGCCGAAACCACGACAGCGGCCGCAACAACAACAGCCGCCGCAACCACAACAGCCGCCGUAACCACAUCAGCAGCCGCCACAACGGCAGCCGCAACCACAACAGCCAGCGCAACAACAACAGCAGCCGCAACCACAGCAGCAGCAACGACGACAGCGGCCGCUACGACGACAGCCGCCGCAACGACGACAGCCGCCGCAACUACGACAGCCGCCGCAACAACAACAGCCGCCCCAACCACAACAGCGGCCGCAACAACAACAGCCGCCGCAACCACAACAGCCACAGCAACCACGACAACGGCCGCAACCACCUCAGCCGCCGCAACGACGACAGCCGCCGCUACGACGACAGCCGCCGCAACCACAACAGCCGCCGCAACCACAACAGCCGCCCCAACCACAACAGCAGCCGCAACAACCACAACAGCGGCCGCAACAACAACAGCGGCCGCAACCACGACAGCGGCCGCAACCACGACAGUCGCCGCAACGACGACAGCCGCCGCAACCACAACAGCAGCUGCAACAACAGCCGCCGCAACCACAACAGCCACCGCAACCACAACAGCAGCCGCAACCACAACAGCCGGCGCAACAACAACAGCAGCCGCAACCACAGCAGCAGCAACAACCACAGCAGGAGCAACCACAACAGCUGCCGCAACCACAACAGCCGCCGCAACCACAACAGCCGCCGCAACCACAACAGCCGCCUCAACCACAACAGCCGCAAGCACAAUGGCCGCUGCAACAACAACAGCCGCCGCAACCACAACGGCCGCCGCAACCACAACAGCCACCGCAACCACAGCAGCCGCAACCACAACAGCCGGCGCAACAACAACAGCAGCCGCAACCACAGCAGCAGCAACAACCACAGCAGGAGCAACCACAACAGCUGCCGCAACCACAACAGCCGCCGCAACCACAACAGCCGCCGCAACCACAACAGCCGCCUCAACCACAACAGCCGCAAGCACAAUGGCCGCUGCAACAACAACAGCCGCCGCAACCACAACGGCCGCCGCAACCACAACGGCCGCCGCAACCACAACAGCCGCCGCAACCACAGCAGCCGCAACCACAACAGCCGCCGCAACCACAACAGCCGCCGCAACCACAACAGCCGCCGCAACCACUGCAGCCGCAACCACAACAGCAGGAGCAACCACAACAGCAGCCGCAACCACAACAGCAGCCGCAACCACAGCCGCCGCAACCACAACAGUCGCCGCAACCACAACAGCCGCCGCAACCACAACAGCCCCCGCAACAACCACAGCCCCCGCAACCACAACGGCCGCCACAACCACAGCAGCCGCAACCACAACAGCAGCCGCAACCACGGCAGCCGCAACAACCACAGCCCCCGCAACCACAACAGCAGCUGCAACCACAGCAGCCGCAACCACAACAGCAGGCGCAACAACAACAGCCGCCGCAGCCACAACGAUUCCACCAGUACUGAUACCCAACAGUAUCGUAGGAGGUCUACCGGUAAGUGUUUCACCUAAAUAA